UCCUCCAACUCCCAGCGUAUCAAUGAUGUUAAAAUCACAUAGUUUCAGGUUUGAAAAGAAGGCAGACUCAGCUUCAUAUCUAGAUUUUGCUUCAGCAUCUGCA